rnacentral:rRNA from 1 species
GGAAUAUUGGACAAUGGGCGAAAGCCUGAUCCAGCAAUACCGCGUGUGUGAAGAAGGCCUUAGGGUUGUAAAGCACUUUCAAUUGGGAGGAAAACCUGUCGGUCAAUACCCGGCAGCUUGACAUUACCUUUAGAAGAAGCACCGGCUAACUCCGUGCCAGCAGCCGCGGUAAUACGGAGGGUGCGAGCGUUAAUCGGAAUUACUGGGCGUAAAGCGUGCGUAGGCGGUUCGUUAAGUCAGAUGUGAAAGCCCCGGGCUCAACCUGGGAACUGCAUUUGAAACUGGCGGACUAGAGUUUAGUAGAGGGGAGUGGAAUUUCAGGUGUAGCGGUGAAAUGCGUAGAUAUCUGAAGGAACACCAGUGGCGAAGGCGACUCCCUGGGCUAGAACUGACGCUGAGGUACGAAAGCGUGGGUAGCAAACAGGAUUAGAUACCCUGGUAGUCCACGCCGUAAACGAUGUCGACUAGCCGUUGGUCCUAUUUACAGGACUAGUGGCGCAGCUAACGCAUUAAGUCGACCGCCUGGGGAGUACGGCCGCAAGGUUAAAACUCAAAUGAAUUGACGG